UACGUAGGGUGCAAGCGUUGUCCGGAAUUAUUGGGCGUAAAGAGCUCGUAGGCGGUCUGUCGCGUCGGAUGUGAAAAUCCAGGGCUCAACCCUGGACCUGCAUUCGAUACGGGCAGACUAGAGUUCGGUAGGGGAGACUGGAAUUCCUGGUGUAGCGGUGAAAUGCGCAGAUAUCAGGAGGAACACCGGUGGCGAAGGCGGCUCACUGGCCCGAUACUGACGCUGAGGCACGAAAGCGUGGGGAGCAAACAGG
rnacentral:rRNA from 1 species